UUCCGUCGCCGGGACUCGAACCCGGGUCUUGUGGGUGAGAGCCACAUGUCCUAACCACCUAGACUACGACGGA
rnacentral:tRNA from 1 species